GUCCUCCCAUACACACACCCUCACUCCCAUCCAUACACUCACCCUCUCUCACACACCCAACCUCCCACCUUUAAUGUGUGUGGAUGGGACUAAGGUUUUCUCAUUUCUUUCAGAUUGUGCGCCUCCGAGGUGAACGUCUGACUGAAGUGAACGUGUGGCUGGUCGAGAACUCCUCCAAACAGGUAAAGUACUUAUGACAAUAUAUAAUGUCUAUAUGCAAGUAUUUAUGAAUGUUAUGUUUUAAAGUUUUUUGUAUUCCAGGUUUGUUUGUGUGGCUGACUGGACCUACUACAAGGUGCUUCUUGGAGAUACAUCAGUGAUGGUGAGGCCGUCACAUUACCAGCGGUUGUGGAUUUCACAAUUCAACCUUUAUAUUGCAGACUCCACAUAAGGUAAAACACUUCCAUUCAGCAAUUGGUGUGCAGUGUCCAGAUUGUCAACAUUUAGUUCAGUAUGAUGUUACUUCUGGCCAGCUUAACCUGAGGAGAAAGUCAGUACAGUACACGAUUAGAUUUUGAAAAGGAAACUGCAAAAUCUCAUGGUGUUGUCCCGACCUCCGUAAAGUGUCAUUAAUGCAAGAACGAAUGUAAGUGUCGUCAAGACCAACACAUGUGGUAACUCCAACGAGAACCAGGCCAAUAAGACACUGUACUGUACGUCGCCGCUCUUCAGUGACUACAUCACAACACAUUCACGUAAAGAGUUCUCAGUUAAAUCAGUCGUUGUAAACAAGGAAAUAAAUAACUUUCUCCUAUUA
rnacentral:lncRNA from 1 species